rnacentral:rRNA from 1 species
GGUGGGGAUGACGUCAAGUCAUCAUGGCCCUUACGGCCUGGGCUACACACGUGCUACAAUGGACAGUACAGACGGUUGCCAAACCGCGAGGUGGAGCUAAUCUGAGAAAGCUGUUCGUAGUCCGGAUUGCACUCUGCAACUCGAGUGCAUGAAGUCGGAAUCGCUAGUAAUCGCGAAUCAGAAUGUCGCGGUGAAUACGUUCCCGGGUCUUGUACACACUGCCCGUCACACCAUGGGAGUGGGUUGCACCAGAAGUAGCUAGCUUAUUAGGGCGGUUACCACGGUGUGAUUCAUGACUGGGGUGAAGUCGUAACAAGGUAACC